rnacentral:rRNA from 1 species
GAAACCCCUGACAGUGUGGUGGAACCAUCUUUUUGUGGUUCUUACACUGAAUCUGAGCUGACGUGCAUGAUGCAUCAUCAGAGGCCGAAGAAGAUGGUGGCUUUUGAAGGUUCUUUGACUGGGAGGCGUUUCCUGGGUUGUCCUGUGCAGCAGGCUAGGGAUGUGACACCAGAGAUUCUACAAAGGUGCCUAACCAGGAUUUGGGACAUGUACCAUGAGCAGAACUUGGGGAGGGUGGAUGACAAACAAGCCCAUGAGAAAGAGGUGGCCAAGCUACAGAAGGAAAUUGAUUUCCUGUCAAACAACUAUAGCCAGUUGGUGGAAGAUAUAUCCAAGCUAUUUGACUAUCAAGAUGGCAAGAUGUCUCAUGACAUGGACUAUACCAGUCAGGCAAUCAAUGAACUAAAUGAGAAGAAGAAACAACUUGAGGAUCAGGCAAAGAUUGAGAUAAGUAUGGAAAAGCUGAAGCUUGCCAAGGAGCAAAGGGGCAUUCUUCAAAGCCAAGCAGAGAUCAUUCAGAACAUGAGGAAGGCCAUGAAGGAAGUGGAGGGGGAUAGGGAUGUAACACCCACGAUGCGACUAUAUCUCCCACGUGUCGAAGCACGACUUAGAGGCAUAACCGCAUUGUGGUUUUGUCGCAAGAAGGGUCAUCUUCACACAAUCCCAUGUAAUGAAUAA